rnacentral:rRNA from 1 species
GUCCACGCCCUAAACGAUGUCAACUGGUUGUUGGGAGUGAAAUCCCUUAGUAACGAAGCUAACGCGUGAAGUUGACCGCCUGGGAGUACGGUCGCAAGAUUAAACUCAAAGGAAUUGACGGGACCCGCACAAGCGGUGGAUGAUGUGGAUUAAUUCGAUGCAACGCGAAAACCUUACCUACCCUUGACAUGUCCAGAAUCCUGCAGAGAUGCGGGAGUGCCCGAAAGGGAAUUGGAACACAGGUGCUGCAUGGCUGUCGU